GAUAAACGCUGGCGGCGUGCCUAAUACAUGCAAGUCGAGGGUGACUCCUUCGGGGGUCAUAGCGGCGAACGGGUGAGUAACACGUGGGUGACCUGCCCGAAGACGGGAAUAACCCCUAGAAAUGGGGGCUAAUACCCGAUGUGCUCGGCGGUUCGUUCGUCGAGUAAAGUUCCGGCGCUUCGGGAGGGGCCCGCGGCCCAUCAGCUUGUUGGUAGGUAACGGCCUACCAAGGCGAAGACGGGUAGGGGGCGUGAGAGCGCGGCCCCCCACACUGGACUGAGACACGGGCCAGACUCCUGCGGGAGGCAGCAGUAAGGAAUAUUGCGCAAUGGGCAAAGCCUGACGCAGCGACGCCGCGUGGGUGAUGAAGGCCUUCGGGUUGUAAAACCCUUUCUGGGGGAGGAGUAAGGACGUUACCCCAGGAAUAAGCGUCGGCUAACUACGUGCCAGCACCGCGGUAAAACGUAGGACGCGAGCGUUAUCCGGAUUUACUGGGCGUAAAGAGCGUUGAGCGGUCCUGUAAGUUGGGCGUGAAAGCCCCGGGCUUAACCCGGGGAGGCCGUUCAAUACGCAGGACUUGAGGGCAGCAGAGGGAGGCGGAAUUCCCGGUGUAGUGGUGAAAUGCGUAGUAUCGGGAGGAACACCAGUGGCGAAGGCGGCCUCCUGGGUUGUCCCUGACGCUGAAGGCAAAGCCAGGGGAGCGAACGGGAUUAGAUACCCCGGUAGUCCUGGCCGUAAACGAUGGAUCUAGGUGUGGGGGGGGAAAAACCCCUUCGUGCCGAAGCUAACGCGUUAAGCAUCC
rnacentral:rRNA from 1 species